UACAGAGGUCCCAAGCGUUGUUCGGAUUCAUUGGGCGUAAAGGGCGCGUAGGCGGCGCGGUAAGUCGGGUGUGAAAUCUCGGAGCUUAACUCCGAAACUGCAUUCGAUACUGCCGUGCUUGAGGACUGGAGAGGAGACUGGAAUUUACGGUGUAGCGGUGAAAUGCGUAGAUAUCGGAAGGAAGACCAGUGGCGAAGGCGGGUCUCUGGACAGUUACUGACGCUGAGACACGAAGGCGAGGGGAGCAAACGGG
rnacentral:rRNA from 1 species